rnacentral:rRNA from 1 species
GUUGUAUAGUCAAGUAAUUAAGUGCAUGUGGUGGAUGCCUUGGCAGUCAGAGGCGAUGAAAGACGUGAUAGCCUGCGAAAAGCUCCGGGGAGGCGGCAAAUAUCCUUUGAUCCGGAGAUGUCUGAAUGGGGGAACCCACCUACUUUAAGGUAGGUAUUGCAACAUGAAUACAUAGUGUUGCAAGGCGAACGAGGGGAAGUGAAACAUCUCAGUACCCUUAGGAAAAGAAAUCAAUUGAGAUUCCCUCAGUAGCGGCGAGCGAACGGGGAUCAGCCCAUUAAGUUAUGUGUGUUUUAGUGGAACGCUCUGGGAAGUGCGAACGUAGAGGGUGAUAUUCCCGUACACGAAAGGGCACACAUAAUGAUGACGAGUAGGGCGAGGCACGUGAAACCUUGUCUGAAUAUGGGGGGACCAUCCUCCAAGGCUAAAUACUCCUGACUGACCGAUAGUGAACCAGUACCGUGAGGGAAAGGCGAAAAGAACCCCUGUGAGGGGAGUGAAAUAGAUCCUGAAACCGCAUGCAUACAAGCAGUGGGAGCACCUUCGUGGUGUGACUGCGUACCUUUUGUAUAAUGGGUCAGCGACUUAUAUUCAGUAGCAAGGUUAACCGUAUAGGGGAGCCGUAGAGAAAUCGAGUCUUAAUAGGGCGUUUAGUUGCUGGGUAUAGACCCGAAACCAGGCGAUCUAUCCAUGAGCAGGUUGAAGGUUGGGUAACACUAACUGGAGGACCGAACCCACUGUCGUUGAAAAGCCAGGGGAUGACUUGUGGAUAGGGGUGAAAGGCUAAUCAAGCCUGGUGAUAGCUGGUUCUCCCCGAAAGCUAUUUAGGUAGCGCCUCGGACGAAUACCAUAGGGGGUAGAGCACUGUUUCGGCUAGGGGGUCAUCCCGACUUACCAAACCGAUGCAAACUCCGAAUACCUAUGAGUACUAUCCGGGAGACAGACUGCGGGUGCUAACGUCCGUAGUCAAGAGGAAAACAAUCCAGACCGCCAGCUAAGGCCCCAAAAUCAUAGUUAAGUGGGAAACGAUGUGGGAAGGCAUAGACAGCUAGGAGGUUGGCUUAGAAGCAGCCACCCUUUAAAGAAAGCGUAAUAGCUCACUAGUCGAGUCGGCCUGCGCGGAAGAUGUAACGGGGCUAAAACUAUGUGCCGAAGCUGCGGAUUUGACAUUAGUCAAGUGGUAGGGGAGCGUUCUGUAAGCCGAUGAAGGUGUGUUGAGAAGCAUGCUGGAGGUAUCAGAAGUGCGAAUGCUGACGUGAGUAACGACAAAACGGGUGAAAAACCCGUUCGCCGAAAGACCAAGGGUUCCAGUCCAACGUUAAUCGGGGCUGGGUGAGUCGACCCCUAAGGCGAGGCCGAAAGGCGUAGUCGAUGGGAAAAUGGUUAAUAUUCCAUUACUUCUGUGUAAUGCGAUGAGAGGACGGAGAAGGCUAAAUCAGCCUGGCGUUGGUUGUCCAGGUGAAAGGAUGUAGGCAUGUAUCUUAGGCAAAUCCGGGGUACUCUAUGCUGAGAUCUGAUAGCAAGCUGUACUUGUACAGCGAAGUGGUUGAUGCCAUGCUUCCAGGAAAAGUCUCUAAGCUUCAGUUACACAGGAAUCGUACCCGAAACCGACACAGGUGGUCAGGUCGAGUAGACCAAGGCGCUUGAGAGAACUCUGCUGAAGGAACUAGGCAAAAUGGUACCGUAACUUCGGGAGAAGGUACGCUGUUGUUGGUGAUGGAACUCGCUUCCUGAGCUGACGACAGCCGCAGAAACCAGGCCGCUGCAACUGUUUAUUAAAAACAUAGCACUCUGCAAACACGAAAGUGGACGUAUAGGGUGUGAUGCCUGCCCGGUGCUGGAAGGUUAAUUGAUGGGGUUAGCGUAAGCGAAGCUCUUGAUCGAAGCCCCAGUAAACGGCGGCCGUAACUAUAACGGUCCUAAGGUAGCGAAAUUCCUUGUCGGGUAAGUUCCGACCUGCACGAAUGGCAUAAUGAUGGCGGCGCUGUCUCCAGCAGAGGCUCAGUGAAAUCGAAAUCGCUGUGAAGAUGCAGUGUACCCGCGGCUAGACGGAAAGACCCCGUGAACCUUUACUGCAGCUUGACACUGAACUUUGACCUUACUUGUGUAGGAUAGGUGGGAGGCUUUGAAGCUGGAACGCUAGUUCCAGUGGAGCCGUCCUUGAAAUACCACCCUGGUAAUGUUGAGGUUCUAACUCUGUCCCGUGAUCCGGGACGAGGACCGUGUCUGGUGGGUAGUUUGACUGGGGCGGUCUCCUCCUAAAGAGUAACGGAGGAGUACGAAGGUGCGCUCAGCGUGGUCGGAAAUCACGCGUAGAGUAUAAAGGCAAAAGCGCGCUUAACUGCGAGACCCACAAGUCGAGCAGGUACGAAAGUAGGUCUUAGUGAUCCGGUGGUUCUGUAUGGAAGGGCCAUCGCUCAACGGAUAAAAGGUACUCUGGGGAUAACAGGCUGAUACCGCCCAAGAGUUCAUAUCGACGGCGGUGUUUGGCACCUCGAUGUCGGCUCAUCUCAUCCUGGGGCUGAAGCAGGUCCCAAGGGUAUGGCUGUUCGCCAUUUAAAGAGGUACGCGAGCUGGGUUUAGAACGUCGUGAGACAGUUCGGUCCCUAUCUACCGUGGGCGCUGGAAAUUUGAGAGGAUCUGCUCCUAGUACGAGAGGACCAGAGUGGACGAACCUCUGGUGUACCGGUUGUGACGCCAGUCGCAUCGCCGGGUAGCUAUGUUCGGAAGGGAUAACCGCUGAAAGCAUCUAAGCGGGAAGCCUACCUCAAGAUAAGAUUUCCCUAGGACUUUAUGUCCUCUAAAGAGCCGUUCGAGACUAGGACGUUGAUAGGUUGGAUGUGGAAGCAUAGUGAUAUGUGAAGCUGACCAAUACUAAUUGCUCGUGAGGCUUGACUAUACAACACCCAAGCAGUUG